AGAUUGAACGCUGGCGGCAUGCCUUACACAUGCAAGUCGAACGGCAGCACGGGAGCAAUCCUGGUGGCGAGUGGCGAACGGGUGAGUAAUAUAUCGGAACGUGCCCAGUCGUGGGGGAUAACGCAGCGAAAGCUGUGCUAAUACCGCAUACGAUCUAUGGAUGAAAGCGGGGGAUCGCAAGACCUCGCGCGAUUGGAGCGGCCGAUAUCAGAUUAGCUAGUUGGUGGGGUAAAAGCCUACCAAGGCGACGAUCUGUAGCUGGUCUGAGAGGACGACCAGCCACACUGGAACUGAGACACGGUCCAGACUCCUACGGGAGGCAGCAGUGGGGAAUUUUGGACAAUGGGCGCAAGCCUGAUCCAGCAAUGCCGCGUGCAGGAUGAAGGCCUUCGGUUGUAAACUGCUUUUGUACGGAACGAAACGGUUCUCUCUAAUACAGGGCUAAGUGACGGUACGUAAGAAUAAGCACCGGCUAA
rnacentral:rRNA from 1 species